UACGGGGGGAGCAAGCGUUGUUCGGAUUUACUGGGCGUAAAGGGCGCGUAGGCGACCACCGCAAGUCGACUGUGAAAUCUCCGGGCUUAACCCGGAAAGGUCAGCCGAUACUGCGGGGCUAGAGUGCAGAAGGGGCAACUGGAAUUCUCGGUGUAGCGGUGAAAUGCGUAGAUAUCGAGAGGAACACCUGCGGCGAAGGCGGGUUGCUGGGCUGACACUGACGCUGAGGCGCGAAAGCUAGGGGAGCGAACGGG
rnacentral:rRNA from 1 species